rnacentral:rRNA from 1 species
UACGUAGGGCGCAAGCGUUGUCCGGAAUUAUUGGGCGUAAAGAGCUCGUAGGCGGUUUGUCACGUCGGAUGUGAAAGCCCGGGGCUUAACCCCGGGUCUGCAUUCGAUACGGGCAGACUAGAGUGUGGUAGGGGAGAUCGGAAUUCCUGGUGUAGCGGUGAAAUGCGCAGAUAUCAGGAGGAACACCGGUGGCGAAGGCGGAUCUCUGGGCCUUACCUGACGCUGAGGCGCGAAAGCUAGGGGAGCAAACAGG